GACGAACGCUGGCGGCGUGCCUAAUACAUGCAAGUAGAACGCUGAAGAGAGGAGCUUGCUCUUCUUGGAUGAGUUGCGAACGGGUGAGUAACGCGUAGGUAACCUGCCUUGUAGCGGGGGAUAACUUUUGGAAACGAUAGCUAAUACCGCAUAACAAUGGAUGACACAUGUCAUUUAUUUGAAAGGGGCAAUUGCUCCACUACAAGAUGGACCUGCGUUGUAUUAGCUAGUAGGUGAGGUAAUGGCUCACCUAGGCGGCGUUACAUAGCCGACCUGAGAGGGUGAUAGGCCACACUGGGACUGAGACACGGCCCAGACUCCUACGGGAGGCAGCAGUAGGGAAUCUUCGGCAAUGGGGGCAACCCUGACCGAGCAACGCCGCGUGAGUGAAGAAGGUUUUCGGAUCGUAAAGCUCUGUUGUAAGUCAAGAACGGGUGUGAGAGUGGAAAGUUCACACUGUGACGGUAGCUUACCAGAAAGGGACGGCUAACUACGUG
rnacentral:rRNA from 1 species